rnacentral:rRNA from 1 species
CCCUACGGGGUGCAGCAGGCGCGAAACCUUUACAAUGUGCGAAAGCAUGAUAAGGGAACUCCGAGUGCCAGUAUCUAAUACUGGCUGUCCUUGUGCCUAAAACGCACAAGAUAGCAAGGGCCGGGUAAGACCGGUGCCAGCCGCCGCGGUAACACCGGCGGCCCGAGUGGUAGCCGCUAUUAUUGGGUCUAAAGGGUCCGUAGCCGGUUCGAUAAGUCCUCUGGGAAAUCUGGUUGCUUAACAAUCAGACUGCCAAGGGAUACUGUCGAACUUGAGACCGGGAGAGGUAAGAGGUACUUCAGGGGUAGGAGUGAAAUCUUGUAAUCCCUGGGGGACCAUCUGUGGCGAAGGCGUCUUACCAGAACGGGUCUGACGGUGAGGGACGAAAGCUGGGGGCGCAAACCGGAUUAGAUACCCGGGUAGUCCCAGCCGUAAACGAUGCUCGCUAUGUGUCAGGUACGGUGUGACCGUAUCUGGUGCCGUAGGGAAGCCGUGAAGCGAGCCACCUGGGAAGUACGGCCGCAAGGCUGAAACUUAAAGGAAUUGGCGGGGGAGCAC